CAUGUACGAAUCACAAGCGGACGUAGUAAAAAAUAUAAGACCGAUUGCAAUAUACUUAUUUCUAUUUUUCAUUUUAACUUUAAUGUUAUUCGAUUACUAAAGAUAGUAGAAAGAUAUUUUUGGAUUGGGUGAUAAUGGAAUGAUAACCCCGUCUACGCUAUCGGUAUAUGUUAGCGAUGCACCAGUGAGAAAUGACAUGUUAGAAUGAAACAGGAUAUUGUAUGACAAGGCUGAGGGAUGAGAUAAACUACAAAGGAGGCAGACAACAAGCAAGACUCAUAAUGAUUGCCUUAACUGAAUACAUACCAGUAAGAUAUAACUAAACAAGAUGAGUCCAUCUUCGGGCACGCUGUGCAAAUUAUGCAGUAAGAAUUUGGAACCCAUAGAACACCAGAUGUGCAACUGUCAUUCGCUACGUAUACGUAUGAGUCUACUAAGAACGGAUUAUCCAGAGCCAGGGGACUAGAGACAUCUUAAACCGCGAGAUAUCAUUAAGUACAAGACCUCUGAAGUGGGAUUACAUUCAGUAAGUCGUGAGAGAAAUUGGAAAGAAAUUAUAAAUUGGUUGGACAAGAUUUAUGUGUGUAUUAUACACUAGUGAUCCGGUUCAAGUUUUAAAUUUUAAAAAUAGAAUUAUCAAAAAUAAUGUAUAGCCUACGUUACUCUCUGAUAAUGUAACUCUCUAUAGAUGUAUGAAUUUUAAAAUCAAUAGACUUAUUCUUGAGUUUAACCAUU